CUUCCCAUCACCCCUCCCCAUCCCCAGAAUUCCUUUAAAAGCAAUAGAUGAAAUAGCUUUUCCUCCUUUUACCAGCUCACACCUCCAAUCGUCUGCUGCCAGAAGAGCCUUAAGUGCUACAUGGAAAUUUAGACUGGAUACCAGGGUAAGGAACUUCCCACACAGCAGAAGAACAAACAAGCAGAGUAUUACACAAAGCAGAGCCCAGAAAAUGCCUCUGCAAACAGACAGCAGAGCAGUUCCUCACUCCCCUGCCAAUGAAUAAAUAAUUGAGAGUGCAGCUAUUGAUUAAUGUCACACUGCUCGCUCUGUCCUACACAACAAUCAUCAUUUCUCACAACAAAGGGAGCCAGAGCCAAAGAGCAGGAGCAAUGUCAGGCACAAGAGUCACCCAGCAAAUUAUUUACUGUUUCCUACAUGCUGGAAAAGCUCUCGAGGCUAAAGGUGUUCCAAGACUGCCAUUUGAAAGGCAGUAGAAAAAGAACUUGGGUGAAGCUUUUCAAAGCUAACAGAAGUGUUAAGAUCCACGAUUCUCAUUCAUCUCAACAUCUUGUCAGCCUCUAAAACGUGUUGUCUAAAAUGCUUGCCACAGGGCUUUGUGAAGUAAAUCCAGCCCAUGACGCUGAGCACGCUUUGAAAACCUCUUUAUUCACUGCCAAGGAGCGCCUCUACUCCCACAUUUCUGCAGGAUUUCCUUGAGAUGCUGUUGACCCCUUCUCCCAUCAUCUCCCUCUCAGACCUGAGCCAUCUCCUUGUGCCUCACAGAGGUUUUCCCACCCAAAAUCCGUCCCAAAGCUCCUCCCCAAACCACCUGCACCUACCCGCCUUGCGGAGCUCGUCGCUGUUCAUGACCAAGGUGUACUCGUAGAUGCCUCCAACAGUGGCCUCCUGGACGAAGUGUGUCCCAAAAUCCCUGAGCAGCUCCCGGUACUCCCCGUAGCUGUACUCCGCGGGGAGCCGCCGCAGCCGCCGCAGGAACUCGUGGUGCAGCAUCAGGGCCCGGGACUUCAGCUUGUAAACACCAACAGCCAGCUCAGAACGGGCAUGCAGGAACUUGCUGGACUGCAGGAAAGGCGGGAGAAGCCAGGAGGAGGGAGGGAUGUCAUUCUCAUGGCAAUGGGAAUUUGCUGUUUGCAGUUAAACCAUUGGCGCUGGGCGGGAUUUAUUGAUUUCACAGUUUCCAACUGGAAAUCUCCUAACUAUUUUUCAUCUCCUAAAAAAACCUCCACUUUUUUGCAAAAGCAGAACUUUCAGUAGUAAAAGUUCCUGAGAGUCAGGCCAUGAUUGGGACACAGGAAAAGGCAGGGUCCAGGUUCUGCUGUGGCACACCCAGAAUGCAAGGACACCUCAGCACCCUGCAGGACUGCUUUACCCCUAAUGAAACUUCACCUCUCACAAGCUCCCCCCUGAAAAAUUCUGACAUCUGAAAUCAGGAUUUGCACGGGAAAUGGUCACUCUGGCUGAGCCAGAUUCAUAUUUCACAGACUAUGCCCUUAUCAAAACAGAAAGAAGAAAACACAAACACACACUCUCUCUCACACAUACUUAUAUGGCUCUCUGUAGAUAUGUAAACAUGGAUAAUUUUUUUCUCUCCCCUUUCUGGUACCAAAGUCUGGAAAAUGUCUUCCAUUAUGUUCAAAGGAUUUAGUGUUCAGUUGUCUGGGCCAGCAGGGCAAGCACAUCAGGGAGGGAUCAUUACAGAACAUUGCAGCUUAAAUAAUAAAUU